AUACUUACCUGGCAGGGGAGAUACCAGAGUCACGAAUGUGGUUUUCCCAGGGCAAGGCUUAUCUGUUGCACUCCAGACAUGCUGCCCCCUGAAUUUCUCUACAUGUAGGAAACUGCAUCAUUUUUGGUAGUGGAGGGGCGGGGGCUGUGUUCAUACUCUCCCCUG
ensembl:snRNA U1 U1 spliceosomal RNA